UCCCACCCGCUCGCUCCCCCACCUAGAAAGUUAAGUCAGGGCUUCACAGCCCUGGUGAGGGUAAAGCCAGCUCUCUGCUCCCCAGCUGGAGCGUGGGCCAGCAAGGGACCACCAUGGCUCCUUGGUUUGGCUGAGAUGGGAAAGCCUGUGUAGGUGCAGGCUGGUGGAGGUCAUUGGUUGAGGAAUCCCUUGAAAGCCUUCCCAAGGACAUGUAACGUGCAAUAAAGUCUCUUUUCAUCACCCAGCACCUUUGCAGUCAGACAACGCUGCUUUGCCAGCCGAGGCUCGGGGUGAGCUCCUCUUCGCCUGUGUAGCCCAGUUUCCCAGUACAGGCUUGGCGUCUUCAGGGACUCACAUUCAGCACAGCUGAAAAAGACCGUUUGAAGACUGCUUAGAAUCACUAGCAAUUGGUAUCUGAAAUAAUUGCGUUUGUUAAAGUGUACCUGAAAAAAUAAAAAAAAAAUUCAAGUCCUCAUGAGAAGAUUUAUUUCUGCUGUAUGCCCUGAUGGUGAAGAUCUCUCCCUAACAAAGCUUUCAGUCAUCCAUAAAACCUGUGAAAUUCUAGGUUUUGAAUGUUACCAGCACACCUGGUGUUUUUCCCCAAAUGAAGAGUCUGUCUUCUGUGCAGAAUUUCUACUGGAAUGGAGAAAGGAAAGUUUGCAUAAGAACUUGUCACAAAGACAAAUGAGCUUAAGAGACCAAGAAGAGAGCCAUAUAAUUUGAAGUUCACAAAGAUAGAGAUCAACAAGCCAGCAGAAUUAUAGAUGAAGCUGUUCUGUGGUGUCUGAAAUGUGUCCAUGCAUUUCCUGCAUAACUGGAUCCUACCUCAUUAAGGAAACAUCCUGAAACUGGGAAAGUAGAAGAAUCCUUGCCAUGGUCCUUAAAGGGCAAAAGCAGACCUGUGGGCAGUAACAGCACUGUGUGCUGCUGGUCCCCAUUGAGUAACAAAGUGUGAUGCUACUUCAAAUGUCGUUCCCCAGUGCCACAAAAUGCUGGGGCUGCUCCACAGGAAUAGAGGUCCUGCAGAGCAAGCAAUGUCAGGACUGUUUUGAGAGAGAGUAUUGCACUCAGCUCCUGUACCCUAGCACGUGGACAAACUGUCUCGGUGUGGAUAUGAGUGGACUUCCUCCUACCAGUCAAAUAUUUUCCAUCAGUUUGGAGAAAAACACCUUACAAUUUCAAAUGGAAGCAUCCCAGUUAAAAAAGUGGGAGAAGUUGGAAGGUGAAACCUACUUUGUUCUUUUCAGAAUUUAGAGUGCUGUGGAAAGUUUUUAGAAAUUAAAAUUCCAUUUUUGGCCCUUUCUGACAGUAAACAGCUUUGAUCUUAAUAUCUGUGCAUUGAACAACUCUGCAGGCUUAGAGCAAAGUGGAUAUUUCUAAAAUCCUUCUGAGGAAUAACAAAAGGAUAAGUGAUCCCUAUACAUCCGAAUCAGAAAGCUACUGAAUAGCGAAUGUUAUGAAGAUUAUCUAUUUAUGCAUUCUCCAGAGCCUGAGCCUUCACACUGUGCUACGUUAUCUUGUGAGCCAAUUUGGGCAACAGGACCCCAAAGCAGAGCUACUUUCUCACCUGAACUGCCACUGAGAUGAUAUUCUAAUAAAAAAAAAGGCACAAGCCCAAGAGACUCUAUGGCGCUGCUAAUAUGAGACUUCAGUCGAGGGAAAACAGAGAGCAUAAUUUUUGCUUGAAGGCAAGAAUAUAUAAUGGCAUUUUCCCCCUUUAAUCUGAAACUUGGAGAGAAAAACAACAACAUUUUGAAAAAGAGAAUGGACAAAGAGGAGUGAGAAUAACUGGUUGCGGUGAGAUGCUUUCAUGACAAGGAUAAAUAGUAAGGUUGGUUUUGCAAAGACUCUUUGAAGGUGUACUCACUGCACAGCCGUCGUGGAGAGCUUUGAUGUAGGGAUUGUUGUCGUAAGACAUUUCCUCAUCGUUGGACCCCAGGAACCUCAGAGCUUUGUCAUAGCUGUCAGA